rnacentral:misc_RNA from 1 species
GAUGAAGAACGUAGCAAAAUGCGAUAAGUAAUGUGAAUUGCAGAAUUCAGUGAAUCAUCGAAUCUUUGAACGCACAUUGCGCCCGCCAGUAUUCUGGCGGGCAUGCCUGUUCGAGCGUCAUUUCAACCCUCAAGCACAGCUUGGUGUUGGGACUCGCGUUAAUUCGCGUUCCCCAAAUUGAUUGGCGGUCACGUCGAGCUUCCAUAGCGUAGUAGUAAAACCCUCGUUACUGGUAAUCGUCGCGGCCACGCCGUUAAACCCCAACUUCUGAAUGUUGACCUCGGAUCAGGUAGGAAUACCCGCUGAACUUAAGCAUAUCAAUAAGCAGAGGA